GAGAGGAGGAGAGAGAGGGAGGAGGGAGAGAGCGAGCCAACGAGGAGAGAGAGCGAGCCAACGAGGAGAGAGAGCGAGCCAACGAGGAGAGAGAGCGAGCCAACGAGGAGAGAGCGAGCGAGGAGAGAGCGAGCGAGGAGAGAGCGAGCGAGGAGAGAGCGAGCGAGGAGAGAGCGAGCGAGGAGAGAGAGGGAGAAGAGAGCGAGGCGAGAGCGAGGCGAGAGCGAGGAGAGAGCGAGGAGAGAGCGAGCGAGGAGAGAGGGAGGGGAGAGAGAGGGAGGAGAGAGCGAGCGAGGAGAGAGCGAGCGAGAGAGAGGAAAGAGAGGAGAGAGCGAGCCAACGAGGAGAGAGAGCGAGAGAGAGCGAGCCAACGAGGAGAGAGAGCGAGCCAACGAGGAGAGAGAGCGAGCGAGGAGAGCGGAGAGAGCGAGGAGAGCGGAGAGAGCGAGGAGAGAGAGAGAGCGAGGAGAGCGAGGAGAGAGCGAGCGAGGAGAGAGCGAGCGAGGAGAGAGGGAGGGGAGAGAGAGGGAGGAGGGAGAGAGCGAGCCAACGAGGAGAGAGAGCGAGCCAACGAGGAGAGAGAGCGAGCCAACGAGGAGAGAGCGAGCCAACGAGGAGAGAGCGAGCGAGGAGAGAGCGAGCGAGGAGAGAACAAGCGAGGAGAGAGCGAGCGAGGAGAGAGAGGGAGAGUGAGCGAGGGAGAGUGAGCGAGGAGAGAGGGGGAGGGGAGAGAGAGGGAGGAGAGAGAGCGAGCGAGGAGAGAGAGCGAGGAGAGAGAGAGCGAGGAGAGAGAGCGAGCGAGGAGAGAGAGCGAGCAGGGAGAGAGCGAGCAGGGAGAGAGCGAGAAAAGAGAGAGCGAGGAGAGAGAGAGCGGGGAGAGAGAGAGCGAGGAGAGAGCGAGCGAGGAGAGAGAGCGAGCAGGGAGAGAGCGAGGAGGGAGAGCGCGAGUGAGGAAAGUGGCUAAGUUGUGAUUCCCUCCCCUUCUCCUGGUUGCAGGGGCGGCAAUCCCGGGGGGGACGGGGGACACACGACCCCCCCAUCCUGGGAAAAAUAUGAUAUCACUGAAACAUAACUAUGUAAUUUAAAUAAUAUUAAUAAUACGCAAUGAAAGCAAUUGUGCUGAUUAUAGACACUUAAUAGCGCGUUUUUAAGUUUCAAAAGAUUGCGAUCCCCCCAUCCUUUGCCUCACAAUGGUUUGAUCCACUGCCAGUUCCUUAGUUGGCAAGGUAACAGAGGGGUCGUAUCUACUGUCUGAAAGGCACUCAAUGAACGUAACUGACGUGAGGUUAAUCCAGUCAAUCGCGCACACACACUAGCUGAAUAUGCAGAGCUAGCGCGCAAAUAUUAACUAUUAAGCUAGCUAGUACCUAUUCCAUUUAUGUGGCGUC
rnacentral:lncRNA from 1 species